UGGCAAUGAAGAAGUUGACUGUGUCGGGAUGCAGCUGAUUGUGGAGUCUGAUAUUGGGUUAUGUGAUUACCUCAACCCGGAUAGGUUCUUUAGAAAGAACUGAACGAAAACACAUUGA
ncrna:unclassified sequences drum RNA